UACAGAGGUCUCGAGCGUUAGGCGGAAUCACUGGGCUUAAAGCGUGUGUAGGCGGACUGGUAAGUACCUUGUGAAAUCCCACGGCUCAACCGUGGAACUGCUUGGUAUACUGCUUGUCUUGUGCAACCUAGGGGCGAGCGGAACAGAUGGUGGAGCGGUGAAAUGCGUAGAUAUCAUCUGGAACGCCAAUGGUGAAAACAGCUCGCUGGGGGUUUGCAGACGCUGAGACACGAAAGCCAGGGGGGCAAACGGG
rnacentral:rRNA from 1 species